rnacentral:rRNA from 1 species
GACGAACGCUGGCGGCGUGCCUAACACAUGCAAGUCGAACGAGGUCCAUGAGAGCUUGCUCUCAGAAGACCUAGUGGCGAACGGGUGAGUAACACGUGAGAAACCUGCCUCGGAGUGGGGAAUAACUCGGGGAAACUCGAGCUAAUACCGCAUAUCUUCACAUGAUCGCAUGGUCGAGUGAAGAAAGAAUUUCGCUCUGAGAGGGUCUCGCGGCCUAUCAGCUUGUUGGUGGGGUAACGGCCCACCAAGGCAACGACGGGUAGCUGGUUUGAGAGAACGAUCAGCCACACUGGGACUGAGACACGGCCCAGACUCCUACGGGAGGCAGCAGUGGGGAAUCUUGCGCAAUGGGCGAAAGCCUGACGCAGCAACGCCGCGUGCGGGAUGACGGCCUUCGUGGUUGUAAACCGCUUCAGCAGGGACGAAAAUGACGGUACCUGCAGAAGAAGACCCGGCUAACUACGUGCCAGCAGCCGCGGUAA